CAUAUCAAUAAGCGGAGGAAAAGAAACCAACAGGGAUUGCCUCAGUAGCGGCGAGUGAAGCGGCAAGAGCUCAGAUUUGAAAUCUCACCUAGUGUGCGAGUUGUAAAUUGCAGGUUGGAGUCUCGGGUUAGACGUGUGUGCAAGUCCCUUGGAACAGGGUGCCACUGAGGGUGAGAGCCCCGUAUCGUGCAUGUCGACACCUGUGAGGCCCUUCUGACGAGUCGAGUUGUUUGGGAAUGCAGCUCUAAGUGGGUGGUAAAUUCCAUCUAAGGCUAAAUAUUGGCGAGAGACCGAUAGCGAACAAGUACUGUGAAGGAAAGAUGAAAAGCACUUUGAAAAGAGAGUGAAACAGCACGUGAAAUUGUUGAAAGGGAAGGGUAUUGGGCUCGACAUGGGAUUUACGCAUCGUUGCCUCUCGUGGGCGGCGCUCUGGGUUUUUCCUGGGCCAGCAUCGGUUUUCGUUGCAGGAUAAGGACAAUUGGAAUGUGGCUCCUCGGAGUGUUAUAGCCUUUUGUAGAUGCUGCGUAUGGGGACCGAGGGCUGCGGCGGACUCGUUUCGUCUCGGAUGCUGGCACAACGGCGCAAUACCGCCCGUCUUGAAACA
rnacentral:rRNA from 1 species